rnacentral:lncRNA from 1 species
GGGAUAUUUAUUAUUUUUGACUUUUUUUUGUAUGGUGUGGAUGGUUGCCAUAGCAUGAAGAAAGCUAAGUAUAAAAUACCUCAGCUUGGUAUAGAAUGGCCAAAUAUAUCUCAGCUCAGCAUAAAUGAGACUUUGGAUAGCUUAACUCAUAUCAGGAUAGCUCAUCUCAGCAUAGAUAUAGCCCUUCACAACAAGCAUAUGGCUCGGCAUGCCUUUUCACGAUCAGCACAACAAGCACAUGGCUCAGCAUACCUCCAAAUCUACAUCUCGAAUAUGAAUCCGAGACAUCCAUGAUGCCACCAUAACACUUCCCCC